AGGGCUGAAGAGAGAGGCAGGGUCUGAUCUGCAGCCUUUCUGGCAGCUGUUGAUCAUCCGUUGCCUUUCUCUUUCUCUCCA
rfam:Myotis brandtii contig158479, whole genome shotgun sequence.